rnacentral:rRNA from 1 species
AAUGCAAUAGCACCACCUGAAUCCAUGCCGAACUCAGAAGUGAAAUGUUGUAAUGCCGAUGGUAGUGUGGGGAUUCCCCAUGUGAGAGUAGGUC